UAUAUACUCCCUCCAUCCAAAAAUACCUGUCAUCAAAAUGGAUAAAAAGAGAUGUAUCUAGAACUAAAAUAUGUCUAGAUACAUCCCCUUUUAUCCAUUUUGAUGACAAGUAUUUCCGGAUGGAGGGAGUACAUA
rnacentral:pre_miRNA from 1 species